GGCCUUUUAUGCGAUAAGUACCCUGCCUUUGAUCACGAGUCUACAGGCCGCAUCUACCGUGAAGCAGUGUUGGUUCGCAGACGAUGCGUGUGGAGCUGGUCUUGUGACACAAAUCAAAGAUUGGUGGGAUGCAUUGAAUACUCUUGGUCCAAACUUGGGAUAUUUUCCGAAAGACGAGAAAUGCUGGAUUAUUGUUAAGCCCGAAAAGGAAGAAAGUGUGAGAGAAGUCUUCCAUGGAACGGAAAUCAAUGUAACAGUGCAUGGGCAGAAACAUCUGGGAGCAGCGCUAGCUUCACGAGAGUAUCUGGAGGAAUAUGUUAAUGAGAAGGUCUCUAAUUGGGUCAACGAAGUAACAGAAUUAGCCGAAUUUGCACUGUCCCAACCACAAGCGUCCUAUGCCGCAUACACAUUUGGUUUGAAACAUCGUUGGACCUACUUCCUAAGAACCCUGCCAGACAUCCAGGACCUACUAGAGCCACUCGAAAAGGCAAUAUCGCAGAUUCUCAUACCCGCUAUCACAGAUCACCAUUGCAAUUCACUCGAUCGGGACAUUCUAACACUUCCAGCACGUCUGGGUGGCCUGGGCUUGAAAAUCCAAGUCAUGGGGCAGAACGUCAGUAUGUGUCGUCAAAAAGAGUGACAGCACCCCUUGUUGAUCAGAUUGUAGCGCAGUUACAUCAGCUACCCGACGAGUCGCAUAUAAAAUCAGCGCAACAAGCCAUUAGAAAAGAAAGAGUGCAAGAGUGGGAGGAGGGCAGAACGUAUUAGAGAGAGUGCACCACCAAGAAUUCAGCGUAUAUUAGAUGUGGCUUCGGAAAAAGAAUCAUCUGUGUGGCUCACAGCACUUCCCCUAAAAGAACGGGGAUUCAACUUGAAUAAGAGAGAAUUUCGGGACGCCGUAAAGCUGCGCUAUGAUUGGCCAAUCGACGACAUCCCCUCCAUAUGUGUAUGUGGGGAUACCUUCACGGUUGACCAUGCCAUGAUCUGCAAACGUGGAGGCUUUGCAAUUAUGCGCCACAAUGAGUUAAGAGAUCUGGAAGCGGAACUCCUCAACAUUGUCUGUAG